CAGGGUGACACCCCAAUGUUUCUAUAUAUCUGUGACCUUGUUAUGAGACUUAUAUAAAUAUGUGUACAUAGCAGAGGUUGGACUAAUGAGUCUAGUACUGGAAGGGGUUAAAUCCCAGCAGAGAGACCAUACAUCACCCAAGUACUGGAAAUUGGCCAAUUAGAUUCAAGGCAGUUUAUCAAAUGAUUUUGUGGGGUUUCAAAGACUGUUAGAAGCUGUUGGGUCUCACCAGACAGACUCAUUGAUCUGCAGUAGAGGAUCAGCUGGAGGCACUUUGUAGAGUUGAGGAGUCAGAGAGAGGUUUUUAAAGUAAGACAGGAUGCAGGACGAUGAGAAGAUUUCCCACCUGGGGAGAUGUACUGCCUCCGACCUGCCAGAUGAGCCCUGGCCCACUAUGAUCACUAACACGGGAGUGAACGCCCCAAUUUCCUCUUUAAUGAAGCGGCGCAGGAAGUUGCCCAUCUGGUUCCGAUGGUUGAUGUUCAUUCACUGUGUGUCGGAGCAGGAGGGGGUCAAUGGCAGCACCUUGUCCUUCUCAUAACUGUAUACAUAUUUGUUGGUAUAUACUGUACUAUUCUAUUCGAAUUUCAUAAGCCGAUAAAGGCCAAAUAAAGCAAAUUAAGUUUUA